GGGAAGAAGUCCACUAUCACCGUGGACGUCUUGCCCUUCUGUACAAAGUCGAGUCUGUCACGACCCGCCCACAGCGAUAAGUGCGACGGAGGAUGGGCGCAGGCAAUGUCACGAUUGACACCGGAGGAUGGUCGGUUGUUGGAGCGAAAGCAUGGGGGAUGAUCAGAUGUCCGGGUUACUAGAACGGUCGACGCAGAUAGUGGAGGAGAGAAGCGAUUCGGUGGAGCUCUCGAAGAGUCUCUCAGGCAGUCGAAUCUUAGAUUUCCGCGGUUGUUGCGGAGUGUCGUCGGCCAGGUCCUUUUUUUUUUUGCUCUUCCUUAAUUCCUUUUGUCAAGCUCGAGAGCAGGAACACGAACACCAAGAAUCGUUGCGAAGAAGUAGUAGACGACAAAAAAAGGCGACAAGAUAGCAGAUUGGACGGAAGAGUCGGAGAAGGCAAGAGGUCCACGACCGGGAGGAGGGAAGUGGAGGGCGGAAAUUCGAGAAAGAAGGGGCCUUGCCCAAACCAAGGGCGAGAGGCACUUGAGAUGGAAGUUGAGGUUGGCUGAACUGAGGCCGUUUCGUUGCGCGGUAGAGGCCCGGUAGUGGUGACUGGUGCUUAUGCUUGUGCCUGUGUCAAGCGUGCUGCUGUUGAAAGGUAAGGUAGGCACUCCAGAUAUGUAAAGGCACGCAGGGAAGCACAGGAGCCUCUUGUGCAGAACAGAAGGGCCCGACGGAGAGAGUUAACCAAACUCAACUCUGUGUCCAGGUCAGGGCAGGGCAGCCACAACCGCAGCGCGAGAAAAAUAAAAGAAAAACCCGGGGAAGUAAACAAACGUAUGUCGACUCAACAAGCCCAGACCCAAACAAAACCGCAGGGGAGAUCGAGGGAAGCGGCGCAAGAACGAGAGACAGAUGGCGAUUGGGGGGGCAGAUGGGAUGGAGAUGAGAAAAUGGAGGUUUUGACGGGUGACAACUGCACCACUCACUGCAAAAUGUCUGUGGAGGAGCAGUGGGAGCGUGGAUGCGCGAGAGGGCACAGCGGACGGGCAACAAC